rnacentral:rRNA from 1 species
AUUGAACGCUGGCGGCAGGCCUAACACAUGCAAGUCGAACGAGUGGCGGACGGGUGAGUAAUGUCUGGGAAACUGCCUGAUGGUGGGGGAUAACUACUGGAACCGGUAGCUAAUACCGCAUACCAUCAGAUGUGCCCAGACGGGCUUAGCUUGUUGGUGGGGUAACGGCUCACCAAGUCGACGAUCCCUAGCUGGUCUGAGAGAAUGACCAGCCACACUGGAACUGAUACACGGUCCAGACUCCUACGGGAGGCAGCAUGGGGGAAAAUUGCACAGUGGGCGCAGGCCUGAUGUAGCCAUGCCGCGUGAAUGAAGAAGGCCUUCGGGUUGUAAAGUACUUUCAGCGGGGAGGCGUUACCCGCAGAAGACGCACCGGCUAACUCCGUGCCAGCAGCCGCGGUAAUUC